CUGUUUAAUAGUCACCUUCACCUUUCAUGAGAUGAAUACAUCAAAACAUAAAAAAAUACAGUACAAUUUGCAUUCGUCGUCUAUUUUUAUUUCUUGUGUAUGUUACUGCGAAUGCGUCCUGAGCUCUGUUUAAAAACGAUUUGAACGACAACUAAUUCAACGGAUAUAAGAAAUUACUUUGCUGUGAAAAUGUCUCUUUACGAUGAUAUCGACGAAAAUAAAGCUAAAUCUGUCACCGGAUGGUCGUCAGGAAUCAAGCUUUUACAUUCGCAGAUGCACUUAAAGAAAGCUAUGAUUACACAGCCAAAACGUGAAGGUAUCCGAAGAGCUAUCCAUCCUGUAAUACCACCCUGCCUCACAGCUACUGAAUCACAGAUAAAAACUGAACCUGAAAUGACCAAAAAUCUGAUUCAUCAGACACCCCAACUCUUGACAACUAUUGUUCCUAAACAAGAGAGAUCCUCACUCUUUGCUGAAUUGGAAUGGGACCCAAAUCUAGAGUAUGAUCCACUGCAUCCUACUGACUAUGACAAAAUCAUUAGGGAGAGAAAGGAACGACGAGGGAUUGAAAUUGAAAUAGAAGAAGCUGAAAAGAAAAGGAAGCCUAGGGAUGAUCGAGAUAUUAAAACCAGAGACAGGUCCUCAUCUGCUGUAGGAUCAGGUUUUGCUGGACGUUUACAUGAUGAGGAAGAGGAACCAAUGGUGAAGAAGUCCUCUACUUCUGGUGGAGUUGCCAUUGCCCCACCUCCAUCAUUACAAGACACAUCAUCACCAUCUCAUCCUUCUCUCUCCUCUACUGGAAGUGGGGUUGGAGCUCUUGGUGUUGCUGCUAAGAUCAUGGCAAAAUAUGGAUUCAAAGAAGGUCAGGGACUUGGACGACAACAGCAAGGUAUUGCAGCUGCAUUACAAGUGGAAAAAACAAGCAAGCGAGGUGGACGUAUUAUCAAUGAAAAAGAAAUUAUGCCUCCUCCGCCACCUGUUGUGUCGCCAACAGCUGCUCCCAAAGCGGAAUUAACGAUUGCUGAUAUCAUGAAGAAUCCUUCAAAAGUGAUUUAUCUGAGGAAUAUGGUUGGCCCUGGGGAAGUGGAUUCUGAUUUGGAACCCGAAGUACGCGAGGAAUGUCAGACAAAAUACGGAGAUGUGAAUAAAGUUGUUAUUUUCGAGGUACCUAACGCCGAGGAAGAGGAAGCUGUACGGAUUUUUGUUGAAUUUAAACGAAUGGAAGCUGCCAUCAAAGCCGUAAUUGAUCUCAACGGCCGAUUCUUUGCUGGUCGGCAGGUGAAAGCCGGAUUCUAUGAUGUGGAAAGAUUUCUCAAGAUGGAGCUGAAUGAUUGAACACGUAUUGAAAAAUAAAUUUUACGAAUCGAAAGUAAUUGAAUUUAAUUACAUGGAAAUAAGAUUGAUUCCUUAAAAGGGAUGAAGAGAGAUGAAUUUAAACUACUACGAAGCAAAACAAAUUCUAACUUCACAAGCUAGCGUGUCCUCGCAAUAUCACACCAGAACAAAUAAUUGAAUUGCACAAAAAUGUGAUGAUCAAGCAAGGUUCUACAUUCAAAGUUUAAAAUAGAUUUACUUUACUUUGA
rnacentral:misc_RNA from 1 species